AAAUAACUUAAAGGUGAAAGUAAAAAGCAACUAUGCAACUGCCAUUUUAAGACAACUGCGUUAUGAAGUUUAGGAGGCCAUAUCUGAACAACGUCGACAACAGCUUUUCCACAAAUAUGCUGAGCAACAGUAAAGUGCCUUGGACUUUCAUCCACCGUCGUUUCUGAGAAGGAGAAGAUGAAAAUCUCCCGACAGCCUGGGGAGAGCGAAUAAAAUAUGGAGGAAGACAAUAUGGAGGAAGACCGGCUUCUGCAGACAGUAUCUCCUGCAUCAAGCUGUCUGUCCGUGAAAAGUGACCACUCCAUGGAUCGACCAAAUGGAGAUCCCAGAGUUCAGUGGGGAGGAACAUCACCUACCUCAACAGUUGUUUCCCUGAACAGUAUCAGGUCCAUUAAUAGAUCGAUCACCUUCAGAGACAGAACCACAAGUCCAUACUCCAGAGAUCCUACGUGUUGAAACAUACCAGGGAUGCUGCAGAAACAACCUGGGACAUGGCUUCUGCAAGACAAUCUGCUUUACAGUACAUUACAAAUGGAAGGCUACGUCUCAUUGGAAGGCUCCAGAAUCUUCCCCUCAUUGUGGAAAACCUGUUCCAGCGCAAGGUUCUUCACGGGGAGGAAGUCAGUAAAAUUCAGGCUGAAGUUGACCGUUUUGACCAAACCAGAAAAAUACUGGACUGGGUCUCGGCCAAAGGAGAGGCUGCAUGCUAUGAGUUGCUGACAAUUCUAUACAUCACAAGGAAGAGGACCUUAGACGACGCUGACUUACAGCAAUGGAUCAGCUGUUUCCCCUUUAAGGAAGACCCAGAGAUGACAGACUACCUUGUUGGUUCAAAACCCUGUCACGGAUAUCAGACACAGCUGAAAUGUAAAGCACGGAAGAUCAGAAAUGGUGCAUGGAAACAAAGCUGUAGUCUCCUACCAGAGACAUGUAGAAAUGAGGGGACUUUAUCUUACACCCCUCUUGUGUUAGAUACAGAUGUGCAUUCAUCUCUCUCCAAAAUAAAAGUGAAGAGCAAAAGAUGCAAGAAAGCUCGCCCUAAAAAGCUAAAGAGCUUCAUCCCCAUGGCCAAACAGGAAACAUCCCCUGCUGACCUGCUUAGGACACAUGAGAAAAAAAUCCUCCUUUUUGGAAAACCUGGAAUUGGAAAAACAACAGUCGCCCAUCAAAUGUUGAACCUCUGGGCAGAGAAAGAUCACAUAGAACUAGACUACAUGUUUUAUUUUGACGUGAGAGACAUUUCACACAGAAAACCCAUGAGCCUGGAGGACCUUCUCUUUAACAUGUAC